rnacentral:rRNA from 1 species
AUUGAACGCUGGCGGCAUGCCUUACACAUGCAAGUCGAACGGCAGCACGGGAGCAAUCCUGGUGGCGAGUGGCGAACGGGUGAGUAAAGUAUCGGAACGUGCCCAGUCGUGGGGGAUAACGUAGCGAAAGUUACGCUAAUACCGCAUACGAUCUAUGGAUGAAAGCGGGGGAUCGCAAGACCUCGCGCGAUUGGAGCGGCCUAUAUCAAAUUAGGUAGUUGGUGGGGUAAAGGCUCACCAAGCCGACGAUCUGUAGCUGGUCUGAGAGGACGACCAGCCAAACGGGGACCGAGACACGGCCAAGAGUCCUACGGAAGGCAGCAGUGGGGAAUUUUGGACAAUGGGCGAAAGCCUGAUCCAGCCAUGCCGCGUGCAGGAUGAAGGCCCUCGGGUUGUAAACUGCUUUUGUACGGAACGAAAAGGUUUGGCCUAAUAAGCUGAGCUCAUGACGGUACCGUAAGAAUAAGCACCGGCUAACUACGUGCCAGCCGCCGCCGUAA